rnacentral:rRNA from 1 species
AGCGAACGCUGGCGGCAUGCCUAACACAUGCAAGUCGAACGAGAUAGGCGUAGCAAUACGCCGUGUAAAGUGGCGAACGGGUGAGUAACACAUGGGUAAUCUACCCUUUUGAUUGGGACAACCCCGCGAAAGCGGGGCUAAUACCAGAUAUGACCACGACUCCUGCGGGAGUUGAGGUAAAAGAUGGCCUCUCCAUGGAAGCUAUCACAAAAGGAUGAGCCCGUGUCCCAUCAGCUAGUUGGUAGGGUAACGGCCUACCAAGGCUAUGACGGGUAGCUGGUCUGAGAGGACGAUCAGCCACACUGGAACUGAAACACGGUCCAGACUCCUACGGGAGGCAGCAGUGGGGAAUAUUGCGCAAUGGACGAAAGUCUGACGCAGCAAUGCCGCGUGAGUGAUGAAGGCCUUCGGGUCGUAAAGCUCUGUCUAGGGAGAAGAAACAUCAUUUUUCUAAUAGGAAUUUGAUUUGACGGUAUCUCUGGAGGAAGCACCGGCUAACUCCGUGCCAGCCGCCGCCGUAA